rnacentral:piRNA from 1 species
AUCUGAGCUCCAGGGCGGGGAGGAGUAG